GACGAACGCUGGCGGCGUGCUUAACACAUGCAAGUCGAACGGAAAGGCCCUGCUUUUGUGGGGUGCUCGAGUGGCGAACGGGUGAGUAACACGUGAGUAACCUGCCCUUGACUUUGGGAUAACUUCAGGAAACUGGGGCUAAUACCGGAUAGGAGCUCCUGCUGCAUGGUGGGGGUUGGAAAGUUUCGGCGGUUGGGGAUGGAUUCGCGGCUUAUCAGCUUGUUGGUGGGGUAGUGGCUUACCAAGGCUUUGACGGGUAGCCGGCCUGAGAGGGGGACCGGGCACAUGGGGACUGAGAGAGGGACCAGAAUCCUACGGGACGCAGCAGUGGGGAAUAUUGCGCAAUGGGGGGAAGCCUGAGGCAGCAACGCCGCGUGCGGGAUGACGGCCUUCGGGUGGUAAACCGCUUUCGCCUGUGACGAAGCGUGAGUGACGGUAAUGGGUAAAGAAGCACCGGCUAACUACGUG
rnacentral:rRNA from 1 species